GGCCAACCACUCCCUAUUUGUGUUCUACAACUAAUAAGGAUUCCAUUUUGCACCAUAAACCAUAUAACCUUUGCACUGGAUUUUCCUGAAAUUUGCUCCAAACAUUGCUGUUUAACACGGUUUUCAGACUUAGAAUUUAUGCAGCUUCGAGAGUUGGCCGAAAUAGCUAGAGUGCUGACUUUGAGCUUUGAUUUACAUUUGAUUCUUUUGCUAUCUCUGAGCAACAACAUCUUAUUAAACAUUUCCAAGGAUCAUACUUCACCUCUGUCUAGUUUCCUUUGCUCACUUACUUGAAAAAUUGGGCAGAAUUCGGUUUCAAAAAUAGAUACUCAUUAUGUUUUCCAGACUUAGAAUUAAUUCGGCAAGGAGCUCGAAAUCUGCUCAAUUGCUGACUUUUGGCUCCAAUUUGAAUUCAAACCUUCCACUUUCUCUGGACAACAACUAUUCAUUUACCUUCUCCAUAAUCCAUAUUACACUAAUGUCCAAAAACAUCUGCUCACUUUUAAGGAAAUUUCUCCAGAAAUUGGUUCUAAAGUCA
rnacentral:lncRNA from 1 species